UACGUAGGGUGCAAGCGUUAUCCGGAAUCACUGGGCGUAAAGCGUGCGUAGGUGGCGUGUUAAGUGAGAUGUUAAAUCGUGUGGCUCAACCAUAUCGAUGCAUCUCAUACUGGCAUGCUAGAGGACGGCAGAGGCAAGUGGGAUUGGUAGUGUAGCAGUGAAAUGCGUAGAUAUUACCAGGAACACCAAUGGCGAAGGCAGCUUGCUGGGCCACUCCUGACACUGAGGUACGAAAGCGUGGGGAGCGAACAGG
rnacentral:rRNA from 1 species